UGGGGAGUAGCUCAACCGGCAGAGCGCCGCGCUGUUAACGCGGUGGUUGCAGGUUCGAAUCCUGCCUCCCCAG
rnacentral:tRNA from 1 species